rnacentral:rRNA from 1 species
CCGAAGCAACUAGCCCUGAAAAUGGAUGGCGCUGUAGCGUCGUGCCUAUACUCUGCCGUCAACGGCAAAGCGGGCGGCCCCUCUCGGGGCGUCGCCGUUAAGCCUUGACGAGUAGGAGGGUCGCGGCGGUGUGCGCGGAAGGGUCUGGGCGCGAGCCCGCCUGGAGCCGCCGCCGGUGCAGAUCUUGGUGGUAGUAGCAAAUACUCCAGCGAGGCCCUGGAGGACUGAUGUGGAGAAGGGUUUCUUGUGAACAGCUGUUGCACAAGAGUCAGUCGAUCCUAAGCCCUAGGAGAAAUCCGAAGCGAUGGUCUGCCGUUAAAAAGUUUUCGUGUCUAGAGCUCCGCGCGCUAGCGCGCGGGCCUUGCACUGCGAGCUGCUGGCACCUUCUGGGCGAAAGGGAAUCCGGUUCCUAUUCCGGAACCCGGCAGCGGAACCGCUCCAAUUCGGGCCCUCAUCCGAGGACUCGUCGGGGUGACCCGAAAUGACCCGGAGAAGCCGUAGGGAGGUCCGGGGAGAGUUGUCUCUUCUCUAUAAGCGUUCGAGUUCCCUGGAAGCCUCUAGGAGGGAGAUAGGGUUUGGAACGCGAAGAGCACCGCACUUACGGCGGUGUCCGGAUCUUCCCCUCGGACCUUGAAAAUCCGGGCGAGGGCCACGAGGAACACCGCGCCGGCUCGUACCCAUAUCCGCAGCAGGUCUCCAAGGUGAAUAGCCUCUAGUCGAUAGAAUAAUGUAGGUAAGGGAAGUCGGCAAACCCGAUCUGUAACUUCGGGAUAAGGAUUGGCUCUGAGGAUCGUGGCGCGCCGGGCUUGGUCGGGAAGUGGAGCGGUGCCAACGUGCCGGGCCUGGGCGAGGUGAAAGGCGCUCGUCGUCUGGACCCUAGCUCGGUCCCGUGCCUUGGCCACCCACGGACCUUCCUUGCUGCGAGCCUCCCGGCUGUCUAGUUUCCGGCCCAGCCGGAGGACGGGCCGGAAUGCUCUUCGGCCGCCAUAGAACGAUCAACUUAGAACUGGCACGGACCAGGGGAAUCCGACUGUCUAAUUAAAACAAAGCAUUGCGAUGGCCCCAAGGGGUGAUGACGCAAUGUGAUUUCUGCCCAGUGCUCUGAAUGUCAACGUGAAGAAAUUCAAGCAAGCGCGGGUAAACGGCGGGAGUAACUAUGACUCUCUUAAGGUAGCCAAAUGCCUCGUCAUCUAAUUAGUGACGCGCAUGAAUGGAUUAACGAGAUUCCCACUGUCCCUACCUACUAUCUAGCGAAACCACGGCCAAGGGAACGGGCUUGGAAAAAUCAGCGGGGAAAGAAGACCCUGUUGAGCUUGACUCUAGUCUGGUACUGUAAGGAGACAUGAGAGGUGUAGCAUAAGUGGGAGGCGGGCUCGCCCGUCGACAGUGAAAUACCACUACUUUCAUAGUUUCCUUACUUACUCGGUGAGGCGGAGGGCGUCCGCCGGAGUGUCUGCACUCCGGCGCGACGGUAUUCUCGCGCCAAGCGCCAAGGGUUGUCGGCGGCCGGUCGGACGUGGUGAGGCCCGCGGCGGUCCGCUUCGCGGCGGUUCUGCCGUGCGCGUCGUCGCUGCGCUCUUGGUCGCGCCGUCCGGCAACACACUCCCUAGCGUGAUCCGAUCCAAGGACACUACCAGGCGGGGAGUUUGACUGGGGCGGUACAUCUGUCAAAUAAUAACGCAGGUGUCCUAUGGUCAGCUCAGCGAGGACAGAAACCUC